rnacentral:rRNA from 1 species
AGUGAACGCUGGCGGUAGGCCUAACACAUGCAAGUCGAACGGCAGCACAGUAAGAGCUUGCUCUUACGGGUGGCGAGUGGCGGACGGGUGAGGAAUACAUCGGAAUCUACUUUUUCGUGGGGGAUAACGUAGGGAAACUUACGCUAAUACCGCAUACGACCUACGGGUGAAAGCAGGGGAUCUUCGGACCUUGCGCGAUUGAAUGAGCCGAUGUCGGAUUAGCUAGUUGGCGGGGUAAAGGCCCACCAAGGCGACGAUCCGUAGCUGGUCUGAGAGGAUGAUCAGCCACACUGGAACUGAGACACGGUCAAGACUCCUACGGGAGGCAGCAGUCGGGAAUAUUGGACAAUGGGCGCAAGCCUGAUCCAGCCAUACCGCGUGGGUGAAGAAGGCCUUCGGGUUGUAAAGCCCUUUUGUUGGGAAAGAAAAGCAGCAGGUUAAUACCCCGCUGUUCUGACGGUACCCAAAGAAUAAGCACCGGCUAACUUCGUG